GUAACAAGGUUUCCGUAGGUGAACCUGCGGAAGGAUCAUUACAGAAAUAGGAGAAGGUUGCUUAACUGCAAUCCUUUUCUUUCUACACAUGUGUUUUUCUUUUUUUUGAAAACUUUGCUUUGGUGGGCCCACGGCCUGCCAGAGAUUAAACUCAACCAAAUUUUUAUUUAAUUGUCAACUUGAUUAACUAAUAGUCAAAACUUUCAACAACGGAUCUCUUGGUUCUCGCAUCGAUGAAGAACGCAGCGAAAUGCGAUAAGUAAUAUGAAUUGCAGAUAUUCGUGAAUCAUCGAAUCUUUGAACGCACAUUGCGCCCUUUGGUAUUCCAAAGGGCAUGCCUGUUUGAGCGUCAUUUCUCCCUCAAACCUUCGGGUUUGGUGUUGAGCGAUACGCUGGGUUUGCUUGAAAGAAAGGCGGAGUAUAAACUAAUGGAUAGGUUUUUUUUUUCCACUCAUUGGUACAAACUCCAAACAUUCUUCCAAAUUCGACCUCAAAUCAGGUAGGACUACCCGCUGAACUUAAGCAUAU
rnacentral:misc_RNA from 1 species